GGUUGCGAGUAUAAUAUAUCAAUCCUUCACCGCAUUAGAAAACCAAAUUUUCUAUUUAAUUUAGCGUGUUCUUUUAAUGAACGCAGCGUCAGCGACAACAAAGAAGAAAAACAGAUCUGCGGCGAGAAAAAAUACAUUGAUUAGAGAAGAACUGCCGCAAAAGAUGUACGAUGAUGAAGAUUGACGUGACGCUGCUUAAUUUCAGCGAUUCAUUUGAUGCAAUUGCAAUUCAUCGGCUAUCAUCGGCGACUCAUCCGAAAUUGUUAUUUUCAAGCUUUAAUGUCGUUUUACUUACCUACUACUUCUCAUGACACGUCGUUUCAGUCCGCUAUUGCCGCUGGCGCAGCAUCAAAUAAAAGAACACGCUAGGAUAGCUUGAAAAGGGUACAAUAACUAGUUAUAGAAGAACAUGAGCCAUAACAUUUGGAAACAAAAUGAGUUAGUUUGAAUUUGAAACAUCGCGCUCUAUGUAAAAAAAGCAAAAAAGAAAAGAAAAGAGUCCUAAUAAUUAAAAAGAGAAAAUAAAA
rnacentral:sRNA from 1 species